AACCAAAGCAUUCAUUAAAUUACCCACCAUUGACCUUCCACACUUCUCAGGAGAUUAUCACAAUUGGCUCGAAUACAGAGACACUUUUGAAUCACUCAUACACAACAACAAAUCAAUAGAUAGUAUUCAAAAGUUUCAUUAUUUGCGUGCAUCUCUGCAAGGUGAAGCUUCCGAUGUUAUUAAAUCGUUAGAAAUGUCAUCAAACAAUUACAGGGUAGCUUGGGAACUGAUCACAGAAAGAUAUAAUAACACACAUCAGCUGAUCUACAAUCAUCUUCACGCAUUAUUCAACAUACAAAACAUUGAAAAGGAAUCAGCAACAUCACUCAGACAAUUACUAGAUACAGUAAAUAAAAAUCUCAGAGCUCUUAAUACACUAGGCGAACCCACAGUAGAUUCAAUGUUGAUUUAUCUUAUUACCUCCAAAUUAGAUAUCACAACACUCAGAUAUUGGAAAGAAUCAAUCAAUAACGACACAGUAGAAAAGCCCACACUUCAAAAUUUAAAAACAUAUCUCAGUGAUCGUUUCAUGCUUUUACAAAAUCUCGAAGACACAAAAACCUCACAACAAACCGAUUCAAAAUCGCAUUCAUUAAAAUCAGAUACUAAAGAUAAACAAUCUCGCAUUUCUUGUCCCCUAUGUAAAGGUCAUCAUUUUCUAUUCGGUUGUUCACAAUUCAAACAAAUGACUGUGGAAAAGAGAAUAGAGAAGGUUUCCAAGUUUUCCAACUUCUGUGCUAACUGUUUGCAUAACGGUCAUGAAACAAAGUCAUGCCGUGGAGGAACAUGUAAAUAUUGUCAACAGAAACACAACACAAUGCUACACAUUCAUAAGGGACCGACCAAAGACACUGUGCACACCACACUCGCUAGUAACAGUAGCUCACAAUCACAACACGCAUCAGUUUUACUUUCCACUGCCUUAGUGCAUGUCAUCGCUAGUGAUGGAACACCACACUUAGCCAGGGUUUUGCUGGACAGUGGAAGUACCUCCUGUUACAUUACAAACAGUCUGAGUAAAAAGCUUAAUCUUACAUUCGAACCCAUUCACGGCACAGUUUCAGGCAUAAAUCAGCAGCAAACAAACAUUUUUUAUCGCACAAAUAUUCAGAUAAAAUCAUUACAUGGUUCAUUCACAACUAACUUAUCAUGUUUGGUACUUGAUACAAUAGCACAGUCAUUACCUUACAUGCGCAUCAAUACACAAGGUUUAAAUAUACCUAAACAUUUAAAACUAGCCGACCCUCAGUUCUAUGAACCCGCAGCAGUUGACAUAUUGCUAGGUGCAGACAUAUUUUGGCAAAUAAUUAGCAGCGGUCACAUUCGAUUAGGCAAAAACCAGCCUACUUUACAAGAAACUGAAUUAGGCUGGCUAGUUUCCGGUUGCACAACAAACACCGACAAGCAAGCAAACAGUUGUUUUUUCAAUAACAACAACUCAGAUCAGUUAUCACGCUUCUGGGAGCUAGAUAGUUUAACUAAUACACAAGUAAACGAUCCUUCCGACUCAGAUGCAUGCGAGAUAAUUUUCACUCAAACAACUACAAGGCAAAGUGAUGGUAGAUUCGUUGUCACUAUUCCAUUUAAAAAGUCACCUGAUUGUUUAGGUGACUCCUAUUUUCAAGCAAAAAGACGGUUUUAUUCCAUAGAAAACCGCAUGAAUUCAAAUCCCACAUACAAACAACAGUACUCAAACUUCAUAACAGAGUACAUACAACUAGGUCACAUGUCUUUAAACAAACACUCACAUCAAAAUACAUACAUUAAAUCAGAACAUAAUACAUCAAACCUACAGUCAGGUACCAUCACGAACACAAACACACAGCACUCACCAGUAUACUACCUUCCACAUCACGGUAUUGUACGCGAGACCAGCACCACUACAAAAUUCAGAGUAGUAUUUGAUGGUUCCGCAAAGACGUCCUCAAAACUAUCACUCAACGACAUUCAGUUAGUAGGACCUGUCGUCCAAGACGAUCUUGUUUCUAUACUCAUACGAUUUCGACAACAUAAGUAUAUAAUAUCAUCAGAUAUUGAGAAGAUGUUUCGCCAGGUGAUGCUGAUGGAGCAUCAGCGCCCAACACAACAAAUCAUAUGGCGAUACAAUCCUACGGAACCUCUGCAAGCAUAUACACUCAACACUGUCACAUAUGGCACGGCAUCGGCGCCGUAUUUAGCAACACGCUGCAUAAAACAAAUAGGCUUAGAUUGUAAAACCACACAGAAUCAUUCAGACAGCUAUGAUCACAAAAUUGUCUCCGAGGUCAUCUUGCAUGAUUUUUAUUGUGAUGAUCUUCUGACAGGAACAGAUGAUGAAUCAUUACUCUUUGAAAUCGCCAAGGGUGUCUUUCUAGAAUUAAAAAAAUAUCAAUUUCCACUUAGAAAAUGGCAGUCUAAUUGUCAAACUGUUCUACAACAUCUGGGUUUCAAUGAUUCAAAUGAUACAACAUUCAAUCUUAGCUCAAAUGAUCCAUCUAAAACACUAGGCAUUUAUUGGAACAUUAACAAAGACACAAUUUCAUACACAGUACAUUCAGAAUUUGUGUCACAAAAACAAAUCACAAAACGCACGAUCUUAUCCACCAUAGGUCAUAUUUUCGACCCACUAGGACUUAUUAGCCCUUGCAUACUCGAAGCUAAGUUAAUUAUGCAACAGAUGUGGACACACAACGUCAGCUGGGACGGUGAAAUACCGGUUUCAAUACAACAACAAUGGGCAAAGUUCGUGGAAUCGUUAUCUUUUAUAAAUCAUUUAUCUAUUCCUCGGCGAGCAUUUCAUGACUCAUCGCGCGAUUACAUUGAACUGCAUAUUUUUUGCGACGCCUCACAACAGGCGUACGGUGCAUGCGCAUAUAUACGUACUUAUACAUCAGAUGGCAGUAUCAGUGUUCAACUGUUAGUUGCCAAGGGACGAGUGGCUCCUUUAAAAGCACUUACCAUACCGCGACUUGAAUUAUGUGCCGCGUUUACCGGUGUUAAUUUAAGUAAUAAGAUAUUGAACUCCGUUCGCAACAAAAAUUGUAAGUGUUACUAUUGGAGUGACUCAAUAAUUGUUUUAUCUUGGAUAAACUCACCUACACAUAAAUUACAAACAUUCGUAAAACACAAAGUCACGGACAUUCUCAAACAUACUGAACCACAGUCAUGGUACUAUGUACCAACUAAACAAAACCCAGCUGACAUUAUUACUAAAUGUACCAAUGCACAACAAUUACUCCAUACACCUUUAUGGUUUUCAGGACCUGACUUUUUAAGGAAUGAUGAUAAACACAGCUGGCCUCAACAACCAGGGCAUCUCAGCGUAUCUGACCUUCCAGAAGUCCGGUCUCAAACACAUCUCACGCACAAACAUAUGUCCGACUGCGACACGGCACGGCUGCCGCGUCAUCACCGAAUCGAACUUCUACGCCAACAUUUUUGGAGACGCUUUAAUAAGGAAUAUAUUUCCCAGUUGCACCAACGAACGCGCUGGCAACGCUCACGCGGCGCGCUCACAGAGGGCUCAUUGGUCAUCGUGAAAGAUGAGGCGCUACCGGUGGCUCAGUGGCCAUUGGGACGUAUCGUGAAGCUGUAUCCGGGACAUGACGGAGAAGCUCGAGUGGCGGACAUCAAAGUAAAGACCGGGACAAUCAGACGGGCAUUUCAUAAAAUAUGCCCAUUACUGGAUGAACCAUCGGACUGAUCAUGAAAUAUCAUACAUCAUCAUCACCUGGGCUGGCCUUUCUCUGGUCGCCCGGGAAUAUGUUAACGCACACGUUAACACGCACACACAAGACACACAUGCAUCUCAAGCAGAGGGGAGCGGGCGGCGUGGCGGUGCAGCGACGGCUCGCGCGCCCUCCAACCACACCUUACGACAACGCGAGCAAGAACGGACGCGAUUGCGAAUUUAAUUUGUGCUAAUAGCCUACUUAAGAAAAACUAUUAAACCAAGAAAUACA